rnacentral:tRNA from 1 species
GCCCCGGUGGCACAAUCGGUUAGCGCGCCGUACUUAUAUUUCGGAGGUUGUGAGUUCGAGCCUCACCUGGGGCA